GGUUAAUUUCGUUGCAUGACAUUUCAAGCCUUGCGCCGCCAGCCGAGCAUUAUUAUUACCGCCAUUCCUCAUUUGGCGGGAUAGCACACGGCUGCACCCAAACCCGCCCUAGAGGCGGGUUUU
rnacentral:sRNA from 1 species